GAUGAACGCUAGCGGCAGGCCUAACACAUGCAAGUCGAACGGGAACCAGAUCAAAGCUUGCUUUGCUCUGGUGAGAGUGGCGCACGGGUGAGUAAUGCGUGAGCAACCUACCCUUGUCAGGGGGACAGCCCGGCGAAAGUCGGAUUAAUACCGCAUGACAUCAUUGCGAGGCAUCUGUCGAUGAUCAAAGAUUUAUCGGACAAGGAUGGGCUCGCGUGACAUUAGCUGGUUGGUAAGGUAACGGCUUACCAAGGCUGCGAUGACUAGGGGCUCUGAGAGGAGGAGCCCCCAGAAUGGUACUGAGGCACAGACGACUCAGCUACGGGAGAGAGCCGUAAGGGAUACAGGAGUAGGGACGGAAGUCCAAACCAGCCAUGCCGGGUGCAGGAAGACGGCGCUAGGGAUUGUAGCCUGCUUGUAUACAAGAACAAACAGCGGUAAGUGUACCGGAGUGAGUGUACCGGAAGAAUAAGCAUCGGCUAACUCCGUG
rnacentral:rRNA from 1 species